UACAGAGGUCUCAACCGUUGUUCGGAAUUACUGGGCGUAAAGCGCGUGUAGGCGGCCCUGCAAGUCGGAUGUGAAAUCCCACGGCUCAACCGUGGAAGUGCAUUCGAAACUGCAGGGCUAGAGUCCUGGAGAGGAAGGUGGAAUGCUUGGUGUAGAGGUGAAAUUCGUAGAUAUCAAGCGGAACACCGGUGGCGAAGGCGGCCUUCUGGACAGUGACUGACGCUGAGACGCGAAGGCGUGGGGAGCAAACAGG
rnacentral:rRNA from 1 species